rnacentral:rRNA from 1 species
AGCGAACGCUGGCGGCAGGCUUAACACAUGCAAGUCGAGCGGGCACUUUCGGGUGUCAGCGGCGGACGGGUGAGUAACGCGUGGGAACGUGCCCUCUGGUUCGGAAUAACUCAGGGAAACUUGAGCUAAUACCGGAUACGCCCUUUUGGGGAAAGGCUUGCUGCCGGAGGAUCGGCCCGCGUCUGAUUAGCUAGUUGGUGAGGUAACGGCUCACCAAGGCGACGAUCAGUAGCUGGUCUGAGAGGAUGAUCAGCCACACUGGGACUGAGACACGGCCCAGACUCCUACUGGAGGCAGCAGUGGGGAAUAUUGGACAAUGGGCGCAAGCCUGAUCCAGCCAUGCCGCGUGAGUGAUGAAGGCCUUAGGGUUGUAAAGCUCUUUUAUCCGGGACGAUAAUGACGGUACCGGAGGAAUAAGCCCCGGCUAACUUCGUG